rnacentral:rRNA from 1 species
GAUGAACGCUGGCGGCAUGCCUAACACAUGCAAGUCGAUCGGUAAGGCUCUUCGGAGUACACGAGAGGCGGACGGCUGAGUAACGCGUAGGAACACACCCUGCAGUGAGGGAUAAGACACCGAACGGUGUUCUACUACCGCAUACGGUCUUCGGAUUAAAGCAUUUAUGCGCUGAAGGAGUGGCCUGCGUCAUAUUAGAUAGUUGGUGAGGUAAUGGCUCACCAAGUCGAUGAUGUGUAGCUGGUCUGAGAGGAUGAUCAGCCAGACUGGAACUGAGACACGGUCCAGACUCCUACGGGAGGCAGCAGUGAGGAAUAUUUCACAAUGAGCGAAAGCUUGAUGGAGCAAUGCCGCGUGCAGGAUGAAGGCCCUCAGGUUGUAAACUGCUUUUAUAAGAGAAGAUUAUGACGGUAACUUAUGAAUAAGGGACGGCUAACUACGUG